UUGAGUAACAUCCCAUCAAUUCAAUUUAUUUUAUAAAAAAACCCCAACUAUAAAGGCGGUGACAUAAAAGAUACAUUGUAAUUCACUUCAAAUCUUUAUUAUUAUACGAGUCUAGUUGAUAUAAUUCAACGAUUCAUCAUUCUAUACAUAGCCCACAAUAUAACUCUUCCUGAACGACAACCCGUUCAAGAAAAUGAGAUUAGACAUCAUAGUGAGUAAUAUAUAUAUCAAUAGACAAAGACUGUUAACACCCUUACGCUCUCUCUCACCACCUCCACCCCAUUUUACCCCUACUACAAGUCUCUAUUUUCACCAUCUCUCUCAUCACCUCCUCCUCCUCCUUAUUGUCAGUCAUUACCACCCUUUCACCAUGUUAAACAAGUAUCCAGUACAGCCGUAUGGGUGUCGAUAUAGUCCUAAUUCGCCCACAGGGUCUCAACCCUCCUCACACCCGCCCUCGUGCUCUCCCUCACCAUCUCUUCCGUCUCAUUCACUUUUACCGUCCUCCGGGCAACAUGUGACUUCACACCACCCUCCUCAUGCCCACCCUAGUAUCCUCUCCACCUUCACCCCAUUUUACGCCUUCUACAUGUCUCCACUUUCACCAUCACCUUCAUCACCUCCUUCUCCUCCUUAUUAUCAGUCUUACCACCCUCUUCACCAUGUCAAAGGUUAACAGUGCUUUUAAAUAAUUAAUCUACAUGUUUUAAACUUGAGAGAAAAAAAUAACCUUACCGAAAAGUUAGACAGGAACAGACAGCUCGAUACCCGGAGUGUUUCCAUUGCCAUGGCCAUCGACGUUACUACCAUGUAUACGACGUCUGAUACACCUGCAACUGCUGACGAAUAAAACCACGGUAACAACAAAUAGGGUUAGCAGAACCAAUGGUUUCCCCCUAUUGUUAAUGGUUUCUUUCACAGUAAAAUUAUUUCUAGUGAUGAUGAUGGAUUACUAUAUCUGUAUCCCUCCAUAUUUUCUUGGUUCAAGGUAGGCUAGAUGAGAUUUUUUUUUUUUUUUUGCUGAGGAAAAACCCAGGUAUAUACAGGAAAUUAAAAAAUUGAUAUAAUACUAAAUUUAGCCCUCAAAUUUUACAUAUUAUACCGAUUUAAUUAUAAUUUUUAUUCUCAAAAUUUAUCUUCCUCCACCGCGACUACCAUCAUAGUUACCUCCAACUCCGAUUCUCUAAAAACAAAAUUCCUUUUCUUCUUUCUUUCUAUUUAAACUUAAUUUAUCGUUAAAUAGCAAUACAUGUAUACUCAUUUUUCUAAACAUUUUUUCCAUUUAUUUAGAGGGAUGACAUUCCAUUAUAAUGUCUGAAUAUGCAUAGGGUAUAUGAAGAAAAAUGGAUCAGAGCAACAGCGAUGAUGGAAACUAGUAAAGGACAAAGUUCCAAAUAAAAUCUGCUAUAAUUUUAAACAACAUUUAAUCGAGAUAAAUCAAGCAAGGCAUAGAUGAGAACCAACAAAGAACAUGAAUUCCUAACCAUGAAAUUGCAAAGGUGAAAUUUGAUGCGCUCCAGCUGUAGGUGUCUUGAUCUAGGUGACCCGAUAGGCCACCAGCAGCUUUCAUACUAUUUUGAUAUUCUGCGAUGCAGAAAGACAAGCUUAGAUUGUUUUAGUGUUAUGAAAAAACACACUAUAGAGUGAAGAAGUAGAUCGAUGGAGGUUACUUAUCUAUGCUCUGAUUGGUGGAUAGACUUGUUGUAUGUUUGACCAUAUCCAUAGCGAAGCAAGCGAGUCGACACACAUACUCUCUCCCAACAUGGGUUCUUGUUUGACGAUGAAUAGAUAUGAGUUGAGGAUGCCUCUUGCAACAACAACUGGAAAUGGAGAAACUAGGGUGGGUUGUUGGAUACUUUAUUUUUCAGGCUUGUUUUCUGUCCCUAGGCUUACACCUACUUUUCCUUUUAUCUACUGAAUUUAUGGCUAAAGUAGAAUUGCUACGAAGAGAAUCACUACUCAUAAGAUGAAGCACCAAUGGCAAAAAAAAAAUGGUAUAGAAUCAGUUAAUAGAACUUUAAAGGACAUCAUGUGUAAUUUAGGAUCG
rnacentral:lncRNA from 1 species